ensembl:lncRNA
GGGGCCUGCGGUGAUUGGCGGGCGGGCGGGGAGGUCGGAAGUACUUUGUUUUUUAUGCUAAUGAGGGAGUGGGGCUUGUCCGUAUUUACGUUGAGGCGGGAGCCGCCGCCCUUCAUUCACCCACAUGGUCCUUCGAGGUGCCGCCGCAGCCGCCCGACCUGCGCCUUCGCGCCACUUCGCGCCCUCGGGCGAGGCCGAGGGGGUGGGGACGACCCCUGCCGCGCCGCCGCGGCUCGCGCCCCUCGCGAAGCCCCUCGGCGGGGCGGGCCGGCCGGCGGGCCGCACCCCCGGCCUGGGGCCUCGGGUCGUAGUAAAGCGGAGGCGGGUGGGGAGGCGGGAGCGAGAGCCCGCGGCGGGCGAGGCGAAGAUGGUGGCGGCUACUCCUCUUGUCAUACACGUGGACCUAACUUCACCAAAAGCUUUUCUAAGGAUACUUGCUGAGAAGGAAGUUUACCUGAAUGGAAUCUGCCUGGUGUAUCUGAUACGACAGCUUCUGUAGCACUAAAGUGCUUAUAGUGCAGGUAGUGUUUAGUUAUCUACUGCAUUAUGAGCACUUAAAGUAC